rnacentral:lncRNA from 1 species
UUUUUUCAUCUUUAAUAUUCCCUGCUUUGUCUCCUGCUUCAAGCAAAUCUUCCCAGUUCAUGGCCUCCUCAACUCGUUCUUCACCUAAAACAAUCACAGGUAAUCCUGCACUCUUCACCUGGUCCAUCAUUAAGCAAACUAAUUAAAACCAAGUUUUAUAUGCGUUGAAAUCGUUCUAGUCUGUGAUUUGAAUUUGCUUUAAAAUAAUUGUUUACCAGAAUAUUUUAAGAUAGAAACUGACUAGAAAGAACCUCAAAGUUACCUUUUCAUAAUUUAUUGUAUCUGUGACAAUGAGCUUGGCGUCACCUAGUUGUGCCUGCUUCUUUAUUUCUGAAGCAUGAGCUGUUGGGUUUGCACCAGAGAAGACACAACCGGCAGCCAUGAUACCCAGAGCAACAAUGGCGUAUUCUGCAAUAUUGGGUAGCACCAAGAUCACCAGAUGUCCUUUCCUUAACCCAAGCGACUUUAAGGCUUUGGCAAAUCUCUUGGUGUCCUUCACAACUUG